GCGGCCCGCGCUCUACAGGGCUACGGACUGCAGCCAGCCGUGGUCCAGGGCGCCGCGCGGGACGCUGGUGGCCUCGCUGCCCGUGGGUCUGGACUUUGUGUGCCUGCAGGAGGUAUUCGAUCUGCGCAGGGCUCGUCGCUUGGUGAAUCGCCUGGCGCCCAACCUGGGCCCGUUGCUGUACGACGUGGGCACGCUCGGCCUACAGCCCGGGCGGCACCUCAAGCUGCUGGACAGCGGGCUGCUGCUGGCCUCGCGCUACCCGCUGCUGCGCGCCACCUUCCGUUGCUUCCCCCACGCACGUGGCGAGGACGCGCUGGCCUCCAAGGGACUACCGUCCGCACAGGCGAGGCUGGGCAGCCUGGACGGGCGCCGCAUCGUGGGAUUCCUGCACUGCACGCAUUUGCAAGCACUGGCUGAAGACGGGCCCUUGCGCAGCAAACAGCUGACGCCGCUGCUGGACUGGGCCGAGAAGUUUGGGGCCGAGAAGUUUGAGGCCGACAGAGAACAAAGUGGAGAGGUCGUGGCUUUCAGCGUGCUCCUGGGCGACCUAAACUUCGAUAACUGCUGGAAAGACCACCGGCUAGAGCAGGAGCACGAGCUCUUCCGCUGUUUCCAGGAUCCCUGCCGGCUGGGCACGCGCCAAAAGCAGCCCUGGGCCCUGGGGACCGCGCUGAGCACCUCCGUGCUCCACCAGUCCAUGGCCUCCUCCCCCAAGAUGCCGAGGCGGUGAGUUGCGACCUGGAUGUAGGCACUGCCCGCCCGAAGCGCGCGGAGGGGCCCUGGCCUUGAUGACACCGCCCCCCUACCAGGGCCCUGGAGCAGGAGAAAGGGCGCCACCUCUACCUGGCCGGCCUUCCCGGCAGAAGCCGCCGAGCUAAGCCCUGGAGAGGUCGGCGCCUGGACUACAUCACGUACCGCGGAGUUCCCGGGUGGCUGGGCCUGCGGCACUGGGACGACCCUCAACCUGACUCCCGCCCCCAGGAGGUGGAGCAGGUGACGUUCAGUACCGCCCUGGAGGGGCUCACGGACCACCGGGCAGUGCGCCUGCAGCUCCGAGUCUCAGUGUCCUCCUAAGGCAAGCACAGAUGAGGGGCGCGCGGCUGGCGCGCACAGACACGACUCGGAGCACGAACUAGGCGCCGUAGCUGCGUCCCCAGAACCGGGAGACUUAAGGCAUCUUUAUUGCGGGAUCCUCACACGGCCUCCUGGGCCCGGCGAUACUCAUAGACGCUGCCGUGCUCGGGAAAGGCCAGUGCUUGCGGGGGCGACCCCGGCGGUGGGGCGGGGUCCUCCGGGUCCCCAUAGCCACCGCCGCCGGGCGUGUGGAGACAGAACACAUCCUGUUGGCGCGGGGGGGGGCGGGGAGGCGGGCUCAGUGCAGGCGUGGCCC
rnacentral:lncRNA from 1 species